CAGCAGCCGCGGGAAUACGAAGGGGGCUAGCGUUGCUCGGAAUUACUGGGCGUAAAGGGAGCGUAGGCGGGUCGUUUAGUCAGAGGUGAAAUCCCGGGGCUCAACCUCGGAACUGCCUUUGAUACUGGCGACCUUGAGUAUGGGAGAGGUGAGUGGAACUCCGAGUGUAGAGGUGAAAUUCGUAGAUAUUCGGAAGAACACCAGUGGCGAAGGCGACUCACUGGCCCAUUACUGACGCUGAGGCUCGAAAGCGUGGGGAGCAAACAGGAUUAGAUACCCCUGUAGUCCCUGUCUCUUAUAC
rnacentral:rRNA from 1 species